GUGCCAGCAGCCGCGGUAAGUACGGAGGGGUGCGAGCGUUAAUCGGAAGUUACUGGGCGUAAAGCGCAUGCAGGUGGUUUGGUUUAAGUUCAGAUGUGAAAGACCCGGGGCGUCAACCUACCGGAAUAAGCAUUUGUAAACUAGGCAGACUAGAGUACUGUAGAGGGGGGUAGGAAUUUCAGGUGUAGCGGUGAAAUAGCGUAGAGAUCUGAAGGAAUACCGGUGGCGAAGGCGGCCCCCUCGGACAGAUACUGACACUCAGAUGCGAAAGCGUGGGGAGCAAACAGGAUUAGAUACCCCUGGUAG
rnacentral:rRNA from 1 species